AAAUUGAAGAGUUUGAUCAUGGCUCAGAUUGAACGCUGGCGGCAGGCCUAACACAUGCAAGUCGAGCGGAAACGAGUUAUCAGAACCUUCGGGGGACGAUAACGGCGUCGAGCGGCGGACGGGUGAGUAAUGCCUAGGAAAUUGCCCUGAUGUGGGGGAUAACCAUUGGAAACGAUGGCUAAUACCGCAUGAUGCCUACGGGCCAAAGAGGGGGACCUUCGGGCCUCUCGCGUCAGGAUAUGCCUAGGUGGGAUUAGCUAGUUGGUGAGGUAAGGGCUCACCAAGGCGACGAUCCCUAGCUGGUCUGAGAGGAUGAUCAGCCACACUGGAACUGAGACACGGUCCAGACUCCUACGGGAGGCAGCAGUGGGGAAUAUUGCACAAUGGGCGCAAGCCUGAUGCAGCCAUGCCGCGUGUAUGAAGAAGGCCUUCGGGUUGUAAAGUACUUUCAGUCGUGAGGAAGGCGGCGUCGUUAAUAGCGGCGUUGUUUGACGUUAGCGACAGAAGAAGCACCGGCUAACUCCGUGCCAGCAGCCGCGGUAAUACGGAGGGUGCGAGCGUUAAUCGGAAUUACUGGGCGUAAAGCGCAUGCAGGUGGUUUGUUAAGUCAGAUGUGAAAGCCCGGGGCUCAACCUCGGAAUUGCAUUUGAAACUGGCAGACUAGAGUACUGUAGAGGGGGGUAGAAUUUCAGGUGUAGCGGUGAAAUGCGUAGAGAUCUGAAGGAAUACCGGUGGCGAAGGCGGCCCCCUGGACAGAUACUGACACUC
rnacentral:rRNA from 1 species